rnacentral:tRNA from 1 species
GCCGGAUAUUCCUUAGAGCAA